AGAGUUUGAUCGUGGCUCAGGAUGAACGCUAGCGGCAGGCUUAACACAUGCAAGUCGAGGGGCAACGCGAGUAGCAAUACUUGGCGGCGACCGGCGCAAGGGUGCGUAACGCGUGAGCAACAUGCCCGUAUCAGGGGGAUAAUCCAGGGAAACUUGGUCUAAUACCCCAUAGUAAUUUUGUAAGGCAUCUUAUAAGAUUUAAAGCUUUGGUGGAUACGGAUUGGCUCGCGUGACAUUAGCUGGAUGGUAAGGUAACGGCUUACCAUGGCUAUGAUGUCUAGGGGUUCUGAGAGGAAGGUCCCCCACACUGGAACUGAGACACGGUCCAGACUCCUACGGGAGGCAGCAGAGAGGAAUAUUUGACAAUGGAUGGAAAUCUGAUCCAGCCAUGCCGCGUGAAGGAAGAAGGUCCUAUGGAUUGUAAACUUCUUUUGUAUGGGAGCAAUAAGGCCUACGUGUAGGCUGAUGAGAGUACCAUACGAAUAAGCACCGGCCAACUCCGUGCCAGCAGCCGCGGUAAUACGGAGGGUGCAAGCGUUAUCCGGAUUUAUUGGGUUUAAAGGGUGCGUAGGCGGUUAUUUAAGUCAGUGGUGAAAGUUUUCGGCUCAACCGGAAAAUUGCCAUUGAUACUGGGUAGCUAGAAUAUGGUUGCUGUGAGUAGAAUGUGUGGUGUAGCGGUGAAAUGCAUAGAUAUCACACAGAAUACCGAUUGCGAAGGCAUCUCACAAAGCCAUCAUUGACGCUGAGGCACGAAAGUGUGGGGAUCAAACAGGAUUAGAUACCCUGGUAGUCCACACUGUAAACGAUGAUAACUAGCUGUUGGCGAUACACAGUCAGUGGCCAAGCGAAAGCGAUAAGUUAUCCACCUGGGGAGUACGACCGCAAGGUUGAACUCAAAAGAAUUGACGGA
rnacentral:rRNA from 1 species